ensembl:lncRNA
GUGUGAAGAAGCCAGAGUCUCACUCCUCCAUCUAUAGCCUCAUGAUCAUCCAGAGCUCCAGACAGACUCACAUCCUCCUCAUCAGUGACGCAGAGGACGAUUCAGUCCAGCUUUACUAAAUGCUGCUCGAUUCUGCAAACACAACAAAACAAAGUCAUUGUCUAAUUGUGAACAAACAUCAUACAUAAAAUCAAAUAAACAUCUACUUCAGCUAUAGACAAAAUAAAAGUUUUUUUUUAUGUGUUUACAUUAUGAGUUGAGUUUACAUUAUGCCAUUGAGUUCAACAACACAACAUUUGAUCUGACUUAACACAUUAGUUGAAAGCUGAUCUGGAUCAUUUAACAAACUUUUUUUUUCUAACAUGGACAAUGACCCAACCUCUGAAGCAACUUUGAGUCCGUUAUGGCUUUGAGUCCGAUAUGGCUUUUAAGGUAAGAACAGAAGUGCAGUUUUUCAUCCGCUCCACCAAGCGGCAUCAUCGGGCUUCAGUUUAGUUUGACAGCUUCGGAUGCUUGACAACAUGACUCUUGAUAACAGUGGCAACAACAAAUGCAGACUGAUUUAAGUAUAAAUUCUGCAGAUGACAGCUCAGUUACAGACUUGCAUAGCCAGUUAAUAUCACACAUUUCAACCCAUAAACAAACCAAACUGACAAACGCUGUGAUAAAGCGCAGGAAUGGAAGAUGUCACGCGACUCACCUAAUAAGGGAUGUUUGGACAGUUACACUCAACCAACAAAAGCAUGUGGUCAGACAUUGACUGUAAUGAUGGACAUCUGCUCAUGCACAGGUAAUGUUUAUAAUGUGUCAGUUUGUGCUGUUUUGCUUGUACUGUAAAUGUGUAGGUUACUAUCAUUUUCUUUCACUUUCAAAUUCUGAUUCAUUGGCCACUGUAAAUAAUAAGUGCAGUAAAUGAUAAAACUAUUUGUACUACAAACCAAUCUGUUUAUAAUUACGGUCAUUUACAUUUCACCAGAACUUAUUUUGCAAUACGGCGGUAAGCUAUUGUCUGUGAAUGUGUAGUUCAUUAGCCGCUAUAGGUAAAUAAAUAACUAUAAGAAUAAAUUGCA